GCAUCGGUGGUGUAAGGUACACACGUCAAAUUCUUGUGUCUGUCCCAAGUCUGUCCCAAUGAUCAUGAAGAGCUCGGGGUUCGACUCCCCGCCGGUGCA